AGAAAAACCAACAAUAUUCGAAGAUCCCGCCGGCAGUUGUGACAAUUAAUUUUGGGGACGCUCAAAGGCUCCCAAUUGUCCACCGGCGUCAGUAAACCGAGUGUAGAGGUGGAAGUGGUGGCUCGAGGAAAACCCAGGGGCCGAGCAAAAGUCCGAGUGGACUAUUCCGUGUCCACUAUUAAAGAACUCCAGGUGGCUCAACUAAGGAAGUCCAACCAAAGGCGGACGGAGGAGCACCGAGGAAGGAGAAGAAAUCCCGGCCUAAAAUAGGCUAACCGCAGCAAGUUCGCUUCGAACCGAAGCUAGGUUCGAGCGAACGGAGGAGCGCAGAGGAGGCGCUAACCGCAGUGUAGCGCGAUCUUCAAGAACGGGAGGGAGGAAAACAUCGGAGGUGUCCCAGUAAAAGGUCCAGGCUGAAUGGAUAUUCCAGCUUUGGAUCCGGUCCGUAGUGUCCCUGGCCAGUGAUUGCAAGGAGCCAUAUUAGAGAAGCAGUGUAAACCCAAAGUGAAAUGGAUAAGAUUUAAGCAAGGAAAAAAAAAAAACAAGAAAAAAUCGGAAGAAACCCGGGAAAAAAAAAAAAGGGUUUAAGGAAGCAAAGAAAAGUUUUAACGUAACGUUCCUAAUGGCUUGAUCGGGAAACAAGGCUAGUCAGAGGAAAUUCAAUGUCGCUUCAAAUUGUGUUAUUGUUUUCGUGGUUUUAUUUAAUUGUGCCGCCCCAGUGGGGAAUAAUUUGUAAGGCAUAAAAACUUUGUUUCAGCGACCCCCCCGAAAGCGCUUUCGUCGUGGGAUGCAGCAAGGAGUUCUCAGUGAGUAAAACCGGCCAAUUUGUUUUAUGUGACAAUUUUGUUUUGAUUUUUAAUCCUUGGUGUCCCGACCAAUGCGGACUCUAAGAGUCACAAGUUUUCCUAUGUGUUUUUGGUUCCUUUAAUUUUUUUUUGUUUGGUUUUUAAAAGAAAAAAAAAUAAUUAUUAAUACCCAGUCUUUCACUUUGAUUUACGUUGUUGAUUCAUAAUUUUAUUUAAUUCUAUCAAUUUUAACUUGUGCUAUUUGCUAAGCCAAUUCUAAGCUGAUAUGUACGCCUUGAUGUUUAUUUAUAUUUAUUUAUUGAAAUUUUAUUAGCUUUAGUUCUUUUUAUACGCAUUUGCCAUGAUCCAAUUUUAUAUGUAUGUUCUAUCGUAGGAAUAAAUAUUUUAUAAUGUUUUAAACCAUCAGUUUUAUGCCGCAGCUAGCAGAGAGUAGGUAGUAGGAGUACCCAUGGAAAGGGGUCGCUCGCAGGAUGUGGGAAGCGAGCGAUCAUUGGUAGGGUGGGCACGCGAGAGUCGCCCCAUGACACCUGGGUGACUCGUAAGUAAGGCGCAGGAAGGGAACCCCCCCCAUCUCUCACCAUCCUAGGAUAUCGGGACUCUUUCCGGAGAGUAGAUAUUUCGUCGCGAGCACGCAUUUGAAGUUAGAUCCCUACCUGGAGAGGCACCCUUGGGAACCGGCAAAUAACACCCCCCUUGCCGACGAGCCGAAGCCGGAUAUUCCAGCGUGCGCUGGUUCCCAGGUUUUACCACCCGCCUCCGCCCAUAGAUGAUUGUAGGAGUUCGUUACAAUUAUAAUCAUUUAUAGUUAUUAGGAAUCCUAAUUUUUGGCGCCCAACUUUAAGGCCACAUUUUUGUUGUGACCCAAGCUCCCGAAAUCCUCAAACAAUAGUAAGGAUCAGGAACCAGGUGGUGGGCUAUACAACCAAACAUAGCCACGGUUGCCACCGGUUGCUAUCAAACAUGAGUAUCUUGCCUACAGUAAUGGUAAAACGCAUAGGAACACAGAGUAUGGAAAUAUUCUGUUCUCUGUCCACGUUAGACCUUACUAAAGGCAGAGAAAAUAAUCUUAAUCCUAAUUUAAAAAAUUCCAUAUAAAUAUCCGCACCUGCUUAAUCAAACGCUUAGGAAAUGCAAGCGUAUUUUGUCCUUGGACGAAGCGCUUGACCACGGGUGAUUAGGUCAGAUGUGGGUAUUUUUGUCAUCAAAAGAAAAAAAUAUAUAUAAAUGAAAUAUAUUUAAAAGCAGGUUCGCGACAUUCGAAGGGUAUGCAGCGUUGGUCAUCUUUUUAUAAAGAUUGCUGCAAACCACGAUGGUCAUCAUAGCGAACAUGCUUAGCUGCAAACGUAGAGAGGUGUUAAACGCAGGAAUACAGGAAGAGGGGGAUUAUGCUAAUGAGGCAAUUAGUGCAAUUCCUUUAUUUCGUCUGUCCGCGGUUUGCACUAACUGUCUUAUUGUCGCAGACUUGCGAUAAGCAGCCUUGCACAAAAUUUUUUUUCGUUUUUUUCAUAUUCCCUAUUCCUCAAGCCUAAUCGCGCAAAUUUGGGUUCUUAUUGCUAUAAUCGAGCUAUGCUUGCUGGCAUUAUUUUUAUGAUAUUGUGAAAUUUUAUAUCGGUAAAUUUUAUUUGUUUGUUUUUUUGUUUUUUAAUGAAUGUUUGAUGUUAUCUAAAAUUAUAUAAAUUUUGUUUUACAUUUUGUAUGAGACUUAUAAUCUGCAUUUAUUUAAUACUUUUACUUUAAUUAUAUUUUAAUAUUUUAAUUAUUUAAAAUCUGCUAUUCAUUGCUCUGUACAAGUAAAAGAGUUGUAGCCAGACAAGGGGAGCGCAACAGCAAGUGCAGGGUAGGAGAAAAAGGGUUCAUUGACCCCAAAUAGAUAAGAAUUGCAGGCAAGGUACAAUUCUAGGUGUGAAAGAGAGAAACAAGAAUUACAUAAUUUGGAGGUCGUUGACUUCUGGGAUGUGAUAAUCAUUCACAGCUGUUUUAUUUACUGAGCCAAUUCAUUUUAAUAUUUAUAUUUAUUAGUUUAGGAAAUUAAUUAUUAUUAUUUAUUUAUUUAUUUAUAUAUUUAUUUAUUUAUUUGAUUGUUUAUUUGUCGAUUCAUCUAAUGUGGUUUAUGGAGUGGUUAGAAUUAUAUGGUGGUUCGUUUAAUUAGGUUUUUUUGGUGAAAGUAGUCAGAAAUUAAAUUCAACAAGUUAGUGGGUUAACAUGGACUCGUCAAUUUUGGAAGCCGAGGGGCCUAAUUCCUCCAAAUGUGUGCUAUGUGACAGGACAUUGUCAAGCGCGCCGUUAGCCAAGGCUAGUUGUGGACAUGAGUUUCAUAAGACUUGUCUCCAGGCUCAUGCUAAAUCCAAGGGUUCGUGUCCAAAGUGCAAGACCGCCAAAGUUCCUAUGUCAUCGCAACCCCAAGCCACCCAACCGAUAGCUCCUGAGCCUGCAGUUAAUAUGGCUCAAACCAUAGAGGCGGUUGUCUCCCAGCAGUUGCGAGGGUUGCAAAAUGAGUUGCUAACACAGUUAGCCGACCAAAUGCGGCAACUGAUUGAGGUCAAUGUAGCAGCGCACCUUCAGCCAAACCGAAACAGCGAGUUUGCCCAAAACCCAGACCCCCGAUCCGUGUCCUUCCGCCAACCAGAUGAAGGGCCAUCAAUGUCGCGACCAAUGUCAGCGUUCUCGAACUCAGAUCUAGCGAACCGUCCGGAUAAGGUGGGACAUAUUAUAACCAGUUGGAAGCUGCGAUUCAAUGGAUGCCCAGAAGGGUUAUCUAUUGAUAACUUUCUAUAUCGCGUAGAAGCCUUAACCCACCAAACUUUGGAGGGAAAUUUUUCGGUGCUCUGCAGCAACGCGAGCUUAUUGUUCGAUGGGAAAGCUCGAGAGUUCUACUGGAGAUUCCACAGAACGGCAGACCAUCUGAGAUGGGAUGAACUGACAAAAGCUCUACGAAAACAAUUUCGAGAUACCCGGACAGAUGUAGAUCUGCGAGAAGCAAUCCGGGAUCGAAAACAAAAGGAAAGGGAGAAUUUUGAUUCCUUCUACGACGGGGUAGUCCAGCUGACGGAUUGUUUAGAGACCCCUAUGACUGAAAAGGAGCUCAUAGAAAUCCUCAGAAGGAAUUUGCGUCCCGAAAUAAGACACGAACUUCUCAAUUUAAGCAUCGACUCCGUACAGCGUCUUAGGGAUGUGUGUAGGCGCAGGGAAAGCUUCUUAGAAGACGUUAAGCGGAGUUAUGGAUACCAGAGACCAGCUCCGUUUCGCAAGCAAGUAGCAGAAUUAGUCGAGGAUAUGGAACCCGAUGAUGCUACUGAGUUUUCGGCUGCAGAAAUAAUUGAUGAGAUAGAUGCACUAGCAUUAGUUUGUUGGAACUGCAGGAAGGAAGGGCACCGCUACCAUGACUGCGAGUCAAAGAGAAAGAUUUUCUGUUAUGGGUGUGGCACCCCAAAUACAUAUAAACCAUCAUGCAGUAAAUGUCAAAAAAACGGGAAGGUGAACACACGGCAAAACCAGCAGUCGUGUGUUCCACGUCGAAAUUUCGAAAAUCAGGAGAAGCAUUAAAUUGUUUGGCCAAUUUGUCCGAGUCCGUGAUGUCACCAAUGGCCAAACUGGCCCAGUCCGAUGCCUCCAUUGUGUCCGAUCCGGUCGAAUCAAAUUCCCAAAGUACUAUUUUCUGGCCGCAGCGGGUCAGGAACAGGGGCGCACGCAGGGGGGGGUUUUGAGGGGUUCGAACCCCCCCCGAAAUUUUGAAAAAAUUGCAAAAUUAACGGGAAAAUAAAAAUAUAAAUUUCAUAUUCAUUCAAAAAUAGUUCUGGCAGAUACCACGAGAGCGCCACUUACAAAAUGAGUAACUAUAUUGACAUAUUGAUAACCUAUAAAAUAAUGUGACGUUUAUUUAAGACCUGCCCAACAAAAAUGUCUAAUGCAAAGAUAACAUCAUUUUUCAAACCAAAAAUGCGCCAAUUUUGGACCCUAAUAUUCCAAAUACUCCAUUUCCCGAACAAGUUCAAAAUGAAAGUGAAAAGAAAAAAUCUUUCCAAAGAGAAUCCCAUAAAAACUUUCAUCGAAGCUUUGGACGUUUGCGAUAAAACAUUCUAUCCAACGGUAUACCGAUUUCUUCAGAUCGGUGCAACACUGCCAGUAACAGUGGCUUCGAGCGAACGGUCGUUCUCUACACUACGAAGAUUGAAGACAUAUUUACGCAAUAAGACUGGAGAGCAAAGAUUGAAUGGAUUGGCGCUUCUGAACAUUCACCGGGAUCUGGAAGUAACCUUUGACGCAAUAUUGAGUAUAACGGCCCAAAAACCAAGAAAGAUCGAUAUUACAUUGUGAAUUAUUUAUGAAUAAAUUAUAAAUAUUCACAUUCAAACUUAACUUACCUAACCCCCCCCAAAAAUAUUUCCUGCGUGCGCCCCUGGUCAGGAAUAAUACCCUUCCGGAAAUUUCACCCCCUAGAGUGGUUAAAAAGACCCCAUCCCGAAGUGCCAAGCGUUUAAAAGAUUUCUGGAAGACAGUCAAAACCAUAAAUGCCAUUAGGCACAAAUGUUCGGAUAGACGGCCGUAUGCAGAGGUUCGCGUGUUAGACCAAACGGUUUUAGGACUACUGGACACAGGAGCGUCAGUCAGUGUCUUAGGUGGGAAGUUGGCUGAGCACGUUAUAAGAAAACGUAUACCCUUUAAGCGUAGUUUCGGGCCGAUCACUACAGCAGAUGGUCACAAGCAGGAUGUUAUAGGGCGGAUACGCAGUCCAGUAAUGUACGAAAACAAAACAAAAGAAAUAGAGUUCUUUAUAAUUCCUGCGCUUAGCCAAGACCUGUACCUGGGCAUAGAUUUCUGGUCCGCAUUUGACCUUCUGCCACCAAGUAUGGAAAUAGCAGAAUUAGAAUCAGAUUCGCAUAUCCUAGACGAGACUCAGAAGUUGGCCCUAGGAAAAGUAGUAAGAGAAUUUCCCUCGUUUGCCAUUUCUGGAUUGGGGAAGACGAGCCUAAUAGCGCAUAGUAUCGACGUAGGAGACGCAAAACCAAUAAAGCAGAGGCAUUUCCCAGUCUCUCCAGCUGUGGAAAAGCUUUUGUAUGCAGAGGUCGAGCGUAUGCUCAAACUAGGAGUAAUAGAGGAGUCAGACAGUGCUUGGUCAUCUCCAGUGGUCUUAGUGCAAAAACCCGGCAAGGUUAGGUUGUGCCUAGACAGUAGAAAAGUCAACGAAGUAACGAAAAAUGAUGCUUAUCCAUUGCCGCAAAUUGACGGUAUCUUAAGCAGACUUCCGAAGGCGAAUUUUAUAACCAGCUUAGACCUAAAAGAUGCCUAUUGGCAAAUACCCCUAGAUCCAGCAUCGCGGGAUAAAACCGCAUUUACUAUCCCUGGCAAGCCACUUUACCAGUAUAAAGUGAUGCCAUUUGGACUGUCAAACGCACCGCAAACCAUGACCAGGCUCAUGGACAAAGUAGUGCCUCCAGAACUAAGGAACGAGGUGUUCGUCUAUCUGGAUGAUUUACUGAUUGUCUCCGGCUCUUUUGAUAGUCAUUUGAAGGUCCUGAGUGCGAUAGCAGGUCGGAUGAAAAUGGCGGGAUUAACUCUAAACGUGGAGAAAAGUAGGUUUUGCAUGCGCAGUGUGAAGUAUUUGGGGCACAUUAUAGGUGAAGGGGUGGUGCGAACCGAUCCGGAAAAGGUGUCGGCAAUGGUGGAUUUUCCCUUGCCGAAGACGUUAAAGGCUUUACGACGAUUCUUAGGGAUGGCUAAUUGGUAUCGGAAAUUUAUUAGUAAUUUCGCUUCAGUAGCCGCGCCCUUGACAGAUCUGUUGAAACCAAAGCAAAGGUUCGCGAUGACCCCAGACGGACAGCUAGCGUUUGAGAAACUAAAAAAAUUGUUAAGCUCGGCUCCGGUUUUGUGUAGCCCCGAUUUCAACAAGGCUUUCUCAAUCCACUGCGAUGCCAGUAGUACUGGCGUGGGAGGAGUUUUAGUUCAGAAGUCGGAUGAAGGGGAUGAAUGUCCGAUAGCCUUCGUUUCGAAGAAACUUAACAAAGCGCAGAGAAAUUAUACGGUAACUGAGCAGGAGUGUUUGGCGGCUAUUAUUUGUAUAAACCGAUUCCGCCCGUAUAUUGAAGGUCAUCAAUUCCAGGUGAUCACCGAUCAUGCCUCGCUGAAAUGGCUAAUGGGUCAAAAGGAUUUACACUCCCGAUUAGGACGAUGGGCCAUUUCACUGCAGCGUUUUAAAUUUCAUUUCGACCACCGUAAGGGCAACCUUAAUGUCGUUCCGGAUGCGUUGUCACGAGUGCAUGAAGAAGAAGUUGCUGCUUUAGAUGCAAAACAGGGUCUUCUGAUAGAUGUAGAGUCACCGCAUUUUCGAGAUCCUGAGUAUUUAAAAUUGAUGGAGGGCAUCGCAGCUAAUGCAGAGAAUUUGCCAGACCUAAAAAUUUCGGAUGGGGUGCUCUUUAAAAGAACCGAGCAUAUAACAGGCGAGCCAAUUCAUGACAGUUUCUGUUGGAAGCUUUGGGUGCCUUCACAACUUGUACCGGAGAUUUUGAAAAAGGCCCAUGAUGACCCGUUGGCGUCGCAUGGAGGUAUCCAUAAAACUCUGGAGCGGGUUCGGCGCUAUUACUUUUGGCCGGGGCUGGUAAAAGAUAUCAAGGAAUACGUGCAGGCCUGUGAGCUGUGCAAAACGACCAAAGCACCAAACCAUACCUUGCGACCCCCAAUGGGAGUUGCGCCCGAAUCACAACGAGCAUUCCAAAAGCUUUAUAUGGACUUCUUAGGGCCCUAUCCUCGAUCCCGAAGCGGUAACGUAGGGAUCUUCAUUGUUCUCGACCAUUAUAGCAAGUUCGUCUUUCUAAAAGCGGUAAAGAAGCUAACGGCUGACACCGUCGUUAAGUACCUACAGCAGGAAUUAUUCCAUACCUUUGGAGUUCCUGAAAAUGUAAUAUCGGAUAACGGUUCACAAUUUCGAGCAGAGCUGUUCCAGAAAUUGUUGCGUGAUAACAAAAUUUCGCACACCCUCACAGCCGUGCACUCCCCUCAAGCGAACGCUUCAGAACGAGUCAACCGCUCAGUUAUUGCCGCUAUUAGAUCUUACAUACGGGAGGAUCAGAAGGACUGGGAUGAGCAUCUCAGUAGCAUUUGUUGUGCUCUCAGGUCCGCGGUACACUCAAGUCUAGGUACCACCCCGUAUUAUAUGGUUUUUGGCCAACAUUUUAUGACCUCGGGGGCGACAUACAAAUUACUUAGGGCUCUGUCCUUAUUGGACGACAAGUCGAUAAGCUUUUCGAGGCAGGACUCCUUGGAGAUUGUGCGGCAGCAGGCCUUGAAAGUAAUGAGGAGACAACAGGAAAAGAAUGAGCGAAAUUAUAAUCUUCGCUCGAGAUCGGUGGCCUACAGCGAAGGACAAGAAGUGUUCCGAAGAAAUUUUAAACAGAGCAAUUUCCAAACGGGCUAUAAUGCUAAGUUGGGACCAGCUUUUGUGAAGGCCCGAGUGAGGAGAAAGAUAGGGAAUGCCUAUUAUGAGUUGGAGGAUCUACAGGGCCGGCUGAUUGGGAAAUAUCAUGCAAAGGACAUUCGACAGUAGGAUGUGCAAGUGCUGUGGUGAUCAUCCUUGGGAAAUUGAAACCCCAAGUCUGGUCUUGAGGGGGGAAUAUUUAUUGUAGCACUUGCCAUGACGGGGAGCGACACCUAUGAGCCGCAGUUGGCGGAGGGUGGCGACAUCUAUGAGAAAAGGUUUAGCGUAGGUAUUGGGGGAGCGCCUGGAACAAAACGAAUUCCGGUAGUUCGCCAUUUGUGGACCCCAGGAGCCAGCCCGCCGAAAAUCCGGCGUCGGUCCGCUUAUGGGUAUGGGUGGGAUCAUUCCCAAGCAAGAUCUGCAACAAGCCAGACGUGUCAGCAAGGCGCUAAGCAGCAAAACCACGGGAGAAAAACCAACAAUAUUCGAAGAUCCCGCCGGCAGUUGUGACAAUUAAUUUUGGGGACGCUCAAAGGCUCCCAAUUGUCCACCGGCGUCAGUAAACCGAGUGUAGAGGUGGAAGUGGUGGCUCGAGGAAAACCCAGGGUUUUAGCAGGCCGAGCAAAAGUCCGAGUGGACUAUUCCGUGUCCACUAUUAAAGAACUCCAGGUGGCUCAACUAAGGAAGUCCAACCAAAGGCGGACGGAGGAGCACCGAGGAAGGAGAAGAAAUCCCGGCCUAAAAUAGGCUAACCGCAGCAAGUUCGCUUCGAACCGAAGCUAGGUUCGAGCGAACGGAGGAGCGCAGAGGAGGCGCUAACCGCAGUGUAGCGCGAUCUUCAAGAACGGGAGGGAGGAAAACAUCGGAGGUGUCCCAGUAAAAGGUCCAGGCUGAAUGGAUAUUCCAGCUUUGGAUCCGGUCCGUAGUGUCCCUGGCCAGUGAUUGCAAGGAGCCAUAUUAGAGAAGCAGUGUAAACCCAAAGUGAAAUGGAUAAGAUUUAAGCAAGGAAAAAAAAAAAACAAGAAAAAAUCGGAAGAAACCCGGGAAAAAAAAAAAAGGGUUUAAGGAAGCAAAGAAAAGUUUUAACGUAACGUUCCUAAUGGCUUGAUCGGGAAACAAGGCUAGUCAGAGGAAAUUCAAUGUCGCUUCAAAUUGUGUUAUUGUUUUCGUGGUUUUAUUUAAUUGUGCCGCCCCAGUGGGGAAUAAUUUGUAAGGCAUAAAAACUUUGUUUCAGCGACCCCCCCGAAAGCGCUUU